ACAUUAGCACAAGCAAAAAGAAACACGUGACUAUUCUUAAAGAUGUUAGCGGGAUUAUUAAACCUCGCAGGAUGACACUGCUUUUGGGUCCUCCAAGUUCAGGAAAAACCACACUCCUUUUGGCCUUAUCAGGAAAGCUCGACAAAACUCUUAAGGUAUCUGGGAGAGUGACUUACAACGGGCAUGAAUUGAAUGAGUUUGUGCCCCAGAGAACUGCUGCUUACAUCAGCCAGCAUGAUCUUCAUAUCGGAGAAAUGACUGUGAGGGAAACCUUGGCUUUUUCAGCAAGGUGCCAAGGGGUUGGAUCGCGUUAUGGUUAGUCCAUCUUUACCACCUUGCAAACCUUUUCAAUAUCUAAUUUAAGGUGUAUAUAUAUAGCCUAAGCAUGGCUGAUCAUCAUUUUUGGGAUCCACAGACAUGCUAUCUGAGUUGUCUAGAAGAGAGAAAGCAGCAAAUAUCAAGCCUGACCCAGAUCUUGAUGUCUACAUGAAGGUGAGAAAAAGAGGCUCCUAUUAAUCUUUACUUUAGUAAAAUAAGAAAACCCAAAAACAUAUUAUAUAUUUUCUUUGCAUCUGAUUAUCUUUUGAUAUAACAGGCAACUGCAACUGAAGGUCAGGAGUCAAGCUUAGUAACAGAUUAUACACUAAAGGUAAUGUUUAAAAAAGGUUCAGUUCAAUUGUGUGAUGACAUGCGUUACAGUUUUUUAUGAAGGCCGAGAUAUUGAACUAGUUAACCGUAUAAUUUUGUAGAUUUUGGGGUUGGAUAUUUGUGCUGAUACUAUGGUGGGGGAUGAAAUGUUGCGUGGGAUCUCUGGAGGACAAAGGAAGCGUGUUACUACAGGAGAGAUGUUGGUUGGACCAGCAAAUGCCUUGUUCAUGGAUGAAAUUUCUACUGGGUUGGACAGUUCCACAACAUUUCAGAUUGUGAGCUUUCUCAGGCAAUAUGUCCACAUUCUAAAUGGAACCGCUGUUAUAUCUUUGCUCCAGCCAGCACCCGAGACUUAUGACCUUUUUGACGACAUUAUCUUAAUCUCUGAUGGCCAAGUUGUAUACCAUGGUCCCCGUGAAUAUGUUCUGGACUUCUUUGAAUCCAUGGGUUUCAGAUGUCCUGAGAGGAAAGGUGUUGCUGACUUCCUUCAAGAAGUGACUUCCAAAAAAGAUCAAGCACAAUAUUGGGCACGCAGAGAUCAACCAUACAGAUUUGUCACAGUUACCCAAUUUUCUGAGGCAUUUCAAUCAUUCCAUAUUGGUGGGAAACUUGGAGAGGAGCUUGCAGUUCCAUUUGACAAGACCAAGAGCCACCCUGCAGCAUUAACCACUAAGAAGUAUGGUAUCAAUAAGAAGGAGCUGUUAAAGGCUAACCUCUCAAGGGAGUAUUUGCUUAUGAAAAGGAACUCAUUUGUUUACAUCUUCAAGCUAUGCCAGGUUGGUUCUAGACUUUCUACCUUGGUUUAUAUCAAUAAAAAAUAUAUACUAUUGUUAUUUAUAUCAUUUACACUUAUAUGAUGAUUAUUUUACACUAUUCAUUUUUCUCUUGAUGCUUUUCAGCUUUCCAUCAUGGCGUUAAUGACAAUGACACUGUUUUUGAGAACCGAGUUGCAUCGUAACAAUAUGGAUGAUGCGGGUCUUUAUGCUGGUGCUCUAUUUUUUACCUUAGUAAUGAUUAUGUUUAAUGGAAUGGCUGAGAUUUCUAUGACCAUUGCUAAGCUUCCUGUAUUCUACAAGCAACGGGACCUUCUAUUUUAUCCCUCUUGGGCAUAUGCAAUCCCUUCAUGGAUUCUCAAGAUUCCUGUUACUCUACUGGAAGUUGCUGUUUGGGUAUUCCUCACCUACUAUGUUAUUGGAUUUGAUCCAAAUGUUGGGAGGUAAAGAAACUGCUUUCAAGAGUUAAGAGCAUGGUGAAUGUUGCUGCUUCUACUAAUUUGCAUGUUACUUAUGAUUUGAGUUGUUGAAUUAUGUGCAGGUUGUUCAAGCAGUAUCUCAUUCUACUGUUUAUCGGCCAGAUGGCUUCGGCACUAUUUCGUGCUAUUGCAGCACUGGGUAGAAACAUGAUUGUUUCCAACACAUUUGGAGCCUUUGCAGUUCUCACGUUCCUUACAUUGGGUGGUUUCGUUAUGGCAAAAAGUAAGUUCAAUUAACAUAAACACAUGACAAAAAAAUUGUUGUAUUUCCAUCAUAUUGAACAAACCUAAGCUAAUUCUUCUGCAUUUCAUUGCCAAUGAAACAGGUGAUAUAAAAAACUGGUGGAUUUGGGGUUACUGGAUUUCACCUUUAAUGUAUGGGCAGACUGCUUUGAUGGUCAAUGAAUUUCUUUCAAACAGUUGGCACAACGUAAUUUCUUGAACACAACUUCAGAAUUUGUAUACUUUUGGUUAACAGAAGUGCGAUUCUAAUUUUUUUUGCUCUCCAAUUACAGUCUAGCCGAAAUUUAGGAGUUGAAUAUCUGGAGUCUCGUGGGUUCCCCUCAAGUGCAUAUUGGUAUUGGUUAGGCUUAGGGGCAAUGGCUGGAUUUGUGUUGCUUUUCAACGUGAUGUUUUCUGCUGCACUUGAAAUCCUUGGCCGUGAGUACUUUUCGCAUCAUUUGUACUUUAAAUUUUUUUCAGAAAAGCAAUGCAAGGUUUUAUUAAUAAGUAUGCAUCUGAAUGUGCAUGCAGCAUUUGAUAAGCCACAAGCAACAAUAGCUGAAGAAGAAUCACCUAAUGAAGUAACCGUAGCAGAAGUUGAAUUGCCACGCAUAGGUGAGCUAUGUUACACUUAUAAAUCACUCAUGAAUACUCAAUGCCAAGCAUACUCGUUGAGUAGCAACAAUUCAUUAUAUACCUCAAGAUAUUGAACAUUUUUUCAAAUACCUUUCAGAAAGUUCAGGAAGAGGUGGUUCUGUUGUGGAGUCCAGCCAUGGAAAGAAAAAAGGAAUGGUUCUUCCUUUUGAGCCACAUUCUAUCACCUUUGACGAAGUCGUAUACUCUGUUGACAUGCCACAGGUAAAUCACAUUCAAAGAUAUAAAUUUAGCAUUUGGAUUUCUAACAGUUUCUAUUUGAAAUCUACUUCAGCCAGAGGCAAUUUGUGUUUUUAACUCUCUUAAUUUCAACUGGCAGGAAAUGAAGGAACAAGGUGUACAAGAGGACAGAUUGGUGCUUUUGAAGGGUGUUAGUGGUGCAUUCAGGCCUGGUGUUCUCACGGCUUUGAUGGGUGUAAGUGGAGCUGGUAAGACUACUUUGAUGGAUGUUCUGGCUGGCAGGAAAACUGGUGGAUAUAUUGAUGGAAACAUCAAAAUUUCUGGGUACCCUAAGAAGCAAGAAACAUUUGCUCGUAUCUCUGGCUACUGUGAGCAAAAUGAUAUCCACUCACCUCAUGUUACUGUUUAUGAAUCCUUGCUCUACUCAGCAUGGCUUCGUUUACCUUCAAGUGUUGAUUCCCAAACCAGAAAGGUUAGUUAGUGUGAACUACCAACAGUAAAACAUGUUUAAGCUGGUCAUUGAGAUAGCUCGAUUUCUCUCCUUAGAGGCUAAUUGUUCAAACUUUUUCGAUUUGACAAUGGUUGCAGAUGUUCAUUGAGGAAGUCAUGGAACUGGUGGAGCUGAACCCAUUAAGGAACUCACUGGUUGGAUUGCCUGGUGUGAGUGGUCUCUCAACUGAACAGCGCAAGAGGCUGACUAUUGCAGUUGAAUUAGUGGCUAACCCAUCUAUAAUUUUCAUGGAUGAGCCUACUUCUGGGUUAGAUGCAAGAGCUGCUGCAAUUGUUAUGAGAACAGUCAGGAACACUGUGGACACUGGAAGAACCGUUGUCUGCACCAUCCAUCAGCCUAGCAUUGACAUAUUUGAAGCAUUUGAUGAGGUGAGUGACGACAAUGAUAAAUGAAGCUGUGUCAUGUUUAGUUUCUUUCUCCAUUAGACUUGAAUCUAACAUGAUAUUUUGUGUGAUUCCAGCUAUUCCUAAUGAAGCGUGGAGGACAAGAAAUAUAUGUUGGGCCGCUGGGUCGUCACUCUAGUCAUUUGAUCAAGUAUUUUGAGGUGAGAUCAUACUUAAGUUCAAUAUUAUUAAGUGAACGACUAUAGUUCUUGAGGACAAAUACUAAGAUUUUCCAAUAAUUUCCACUGUCCAGAGCAUUGAAGGGGUGAGCAAAAUCAAAGACGGAUAUAACCCAGCUACUUGGAUGUUGGAAGUUACAACUUCAGCACAAGAACUUAGUUUGGGUGUUGAUUUUACUGACUUGUACAAGAAUUCUGAUCUAUAUAGGUAGGCUAGUGCAUGCAGUUAUGAAUUUAUUAACUAAUAUAGCUAUUGCCAUCUUUGUUUUCUCUAUUUUCAAAAUGCUUAAAUGAGUUUUGCAUGGUUUUUCAGGAGAAACAAGCAGCUUAUACAAGAACUGGGUCAGCCCGCUCCCGGUUCAAAGGAUCUUUAUUUCCCUACUCAAUACUCUCAGUCAUUCUUGGUCCAAUGCCAAGCUUGCUUAUGGAAGCAACGUUGGUCAUAUUGGCGUAAUCCACCAUACACUGCUGUGAGGUUUUUCUUCACUACUUUCAUAGCCCUGAUGUUUGGAACAAUGUUCUGGGACCUCGGAAGCAGACGGUAAGUCAAAGAUUAGUGAAGUUUUAAAAUAAAUUCUUAUUACCCAACAAAAUAAAAUACCAUAUAAUAUAUUUUGUCACAUCUUCUAAUUCCACUUGCUUUUGGUGAUUUUACAGUACAACAAGAGGAGACCUGUUGAAUGCUCUAGGUUCAAUGUAUACUGCUGUUCUCUUCCUUGGAAUACAAAAUGCUUCCUCUGUUCAGCCAGUGGUAGCAGUUGAAAGGACUGUCUUUUAUAGAGAAAAAGCUGCGGGAAUGUAUUCUGCCUUACCCUAUGCAUUUGCACAGGUAACUUCAUCAUUAUUUAUUUUAGACAUUAUUAGUGGUUUAGUUUGCAUACACGGUUCAUGUUAACAAAUUCCCUACUUUUUGUCACAGGUUCUGGUAGAGAUACCAUAUAUCUUCGCUCAAGCUGUGACAUACGGUUUAAUUGUUUAUGCCAUGAUCGGAUUUGACUGGACUGCAGAGAAAUUCUUUUGGUAUCUAUUUUUCAGUUUCUUCUCAUUGUUGUACUUUACUUUCUACGGUAUGAUGGCUGUGGGAGUGACGCCAAACCACCAUGUUGCUGCCAUUGUGGCUGCUGCAUUCUAUGCAAUUUGGAAUCUCUUCUCGGGAUUUAUUGUCGUUAGACCUGUAAGUUGUUGCACUACCCUACCAUUUGAAUAAUAAAUAGUUAAAUAAAUGGUUUCAAUGGAUGAAUGUAUGUACAUUUAUGUUUAUUGUCCUUUUCCAUUUUCAACAGAAAAUGCCCGUGUGGUGGAGAUGGUACUAUUGGGCAUGUCCAGUGGCUUGGACCUUAUAUGGAUUGAUUGCAUCUCAGUUUGGAGAUAUAACGGAAAGAAUGCCGGGUGAAGAUAACAAGAUGGUGAAAGAUUUCGUAGAAGACUACUUUGGUUUCAAACAUGACUUCGUUGGAGUGUGUGCUGUUGUGGUUGCUGGCAUCGCAGUUGCCUUUGCAUUAAUCUUCGGUGUUGCAAUCAAGACCUUUAACUUCCAAAAGAGAUAGAUGGAUAGACUGAACUCUUUCUCCAACGUCAAAGAUUCUUUAUAUUUUCUCUCUCUCUCUCUUUGCUUGUUUUUGUUUUCUCUAUAAACUUAUAAUAUUUGUAUCUAUCAUUUAAUCAUUUGUUCAAAACCAGCCAGUUUGAAGGUUGUCCUUUAUAAAUGUAUGAUGAAUGUCAAAAGAAAGAUUUUUGAUACUUACCACAUAAGCAUAAUGAUGUACAUCCGUAAAUUAAUAAAAAAAACAUACGAGUUGAUAAGAUUUAUUAAUCACUAUGGCUUUGUGAUAUUAAUAUUGAUCACUAUAGGUACGAUUGUUUUGCUAAAAUUUUAGAGGACUCAGCACUAAAACAUUUGUCCUACAUUUGUUUUAAAUAAUAGUGGGUGGACAACAAAAAACAAGGGGAAUAGAACUGGACAAAAGUAUAAAAAUUUGUAACUUGAAACCCCAGGCCUUUCUUCACUACCAACGCAAGGGCAUAUAAUAAAUAAGGUAAAAUCAUCUUUUUAAUCUCAUUUUUUUUAUAAUUUGAUCCUUCAUCUUUUAAAAAAUUCAUUUUGAUACUUUGUAAUUUUAAAAAUUCAUUUUAGUCCUUUUAUUUUAACAAUUUUAAGAUAUUAGAGAUUAAAAACUAUCCCGAAACACAAUUUUAUCUUAAACAUCUCCGCAUUGUAAUUAACACAUUAUUGACUGUUAUAAACCGCCAAAAUGAAACACUCAAAUGUCACAAAAUGCAAACACUCAAAUUGCUAAAUGGAUGUUAGAAAAAAGCACAAGAGAAAUGCAACAGUGGAAAUAUAAAAAUCACACCUGGUAACAAAAGGUUGGGAUAGAGUACACUAAAACCUUCAGUCCAAUUGUUAAUCUAACAACUGUUAGAACCCUCUUAUCAAUUGCAGUUGUGAUGGGGGCAGUAUUGCUAUGAAUCAUCUCCGGCAAUUGCUUUGUGUACCAACGUUUUUUUGUAAACUCAACAUUUUUUGUUAUUUCCAAAAUUAUUCUUAGAAGAUUUAUGGAUUCGUAAUUCGUAUGGACCUAUGGAUUCACAAUCUGUAUGGGCCCAUACAAUUUUUUAUUUUUUUCAAAAAAAUAUGUUUUAGAAAUUAAUUUAAAAUUAAUAAUUCAUUCAAGAUUCAAACAUGUGAUUUUUAGGUUAUUAACAUGAUAUCCUAAUCAACUGAGUUAAUAAGUCAAUUAUGUUAUAAAAUAAUUAAUGUCGUUAUAUAUAACACUAAAAUUUCUAAUGUAUAUUAUUCUUAAAAGAUUUAUGGAUUCAUAAUUCGUAUGGAUCCAUGGAUUCGCAAUUCGUAUGGACCCAUACAAUUUUUUUUAUUUUUUUUAAAAAUAUGUUUUAGGAAUUAAUUUAAAAUUAAUAACCCAUACAAGAUUCAAACAUGUGACUUUCAGGUUAUUAACACAAUAUUUUAAUCAACUGAGUUAAUAGGCCAAUUAUCAAUGAAUACAUUGGAUCCUUUUAUCAUUGUUAUCAAUGAAGAAUCAGAGUUGUUACAUUUAUCUCAAUGAUAGGAGUAGAGGUAGAGUAGAUUCCUUCACCUAUCAAACUAUAUGUCAAUUAACAUUUCUCCAUGGUGACUUGAACGAAGAAGUCUAUAUGGAGGUCCAGCCGAAUUUGAGUGUUUCUGAAACAGGCCUAGUAUGGAACUAUGCAAACUCUAAAAAUAACUUUACAAGCUACAACAGGCAAGCAAAUAGUGGAAUGCCAAACUGACCACUGACAAGGCUCUGAGGGCUUGUGGAUAUUCACCGUCCAAGGCAGAUUAUUCCUUGUUCACUAAAAUCUCUGCAUCUUGGUCUAUUUUUAUCUUGGUUUAUGCAAAUGAUUUGCUCUUGGCAAGAGACAACCUUGUUGAAAUCAGUGCAAUUAAAUCCUAUUUGGAUCAGCAGUUCAUCAUUAAAGAUAUAGGCCAACUCAUUCUUUUUAGGAUUCGAGGUGGUCAGAUCUAAGGAAGGAAUUGCCUUAUACCAAAGCAAGUAUGCCUUGGACAUACUUAAAGACUCUAGACUAUUGGCAGCAAAACCAUGUAAUACUCCCAUGGACAAUUUUUUUAGACUUCAGCAUGAUUCUUGUUCUGCAUUACCCAAUGUUGCUAUUUAUAGGAAACUGACAGGGAGAUUACUUUCUCUCACUCACACAAGGCCUGUCACAUGCUUCGCUGUGAGUCAGUUGUGUUUUAAAUAUGUCAAAAAGUCACCAACUGAAGGACUCUUCUUUUCUGCUAAUUCUAACACUAAGUUGAAGUGGUUUAGUAAUUCAGAUUUGGGAACUUGUUUGGACACUAGAAAGUACAUUACAUGUUACUGCCUUUUCUUUGUACCCUCUCUAGUAUCCUAGAAAAGCAAGAAGUUAAGCAACCCACAGUCUCCAAGUCAUCUUCAGAGGCCGAGUAUAUGGCCAUGGCACUAGCCAUUUGUGAGGCUCAAUUGUUACUCUACCUAUUUGAUACAAUUGACCGACAUUGUUCCUAUUGUGAUAAUCAAGCUAAUGGGGAAAACAGACCAACACAAUAAAAAACUCUAUAACAGAGUAAUAAACAGUCAAAAUAAAUUCCCCCAAAUUUAUGCAAAAUAGAAAUGAUGAAAAAUAGAGACACAAUUUGUUUAACAUAGAAAAUCCCUCAAUGCAAAAGUAAAAAUUACGGGUUAUCCAAACCAAAGAAAUAACUUCACUAUAAUCAAUGAAGAUACAAGAGAACCUCCAACAAGUGCACUUAAAUAUGCUACAAACAGUCAAAUCAAAACAAACUCCAACUGGUAUCUUUCUCUACAGAUAGCGGCAAGAAGAUAAAACCUCAAAAUAUAGAACAAAUAAUGCAAAACACUUAUCUUUCUCUACAGAUAUCUUUUUUUCCGAUCCAACCAGACAAUUUAAAGUAUCACGCGUGUAGAACCUGUAGUCCAAAAAUCAUCCCGAUCCAACAGUAAACGAAUCCACAGUUACAAUCUGAAAAACGCUUCUCUAAUCUCACCCUCUCCACCUAAAUAAGUGAGACACACGGAUCUUCUCAUUUGGAUCUUUACUCUACAUAGGAAGGGAGCCUAAAAAACUCAACACAAUCAGUCUUACACAUAGCUGCAAAUCUUGUAUUUAUGAAAGGACAAAACUUAUCAAAUUGGAGUGCCACAUUGCAAGAGAAAAGGUGCACAAUGGAACACUUCAUUUGCUGCCAAGUUCAUCGCAACUUCAGAUUGCUGACAUUUUAAUAAAGCCUAUAUUGCUACAGGACCAUUCGAGAGCCUUCAAUCCAAAUUUGAAAUGUUGGACAUACACAUUCUAGGAUGUUACAGCUUAUGACAACUUUUUUUUUUUAUGUUAGUUUUUCAAUAGUUAAAAUAUCAUUUUGGUCUAUUAUGUUUUCGUAUUUUUUUAUUUUUAUUUUUUAUGUUUUAAAAAUUUCACUUUAGUUGUUUAUGUUCGUAAAUAAACUCAAAAUGAUCAUUUUGUCCCCAUUAAAUGAUGACAUUUUAAUUAUUAUUUGUAUUAAGUUUUUUGGGGUUCAUUUUAUGGUGAUCCAAAACUGUCAAGAAAUUGCUUGUCUAAUUCAUUUAAUAGGUAUUAAACUGUCAUUUUGGAUUCAUUCUCGAACAUAAAAGUUUCAAGAUGAAACUUUUAAAACAUGAAGGACCAAAGAAAAAAAAAAAAUAUAAUAGAUUAAAAUGAUAUUUUUUAGCCUUUUCAAUAUUCAGUUAUAGUUAGUUACCAACUUUCCAAUUAGUUGAUUCUCACAUCACAUUGUAAAUAAGGAGUUAGCCGUGUAAAAGAAUUCAGAUUGAAUAAUACAAAGACCAGUGCACCCUGCAUUAUGGUCAUCUCCUUGGUCUCAUUUCUAAUUGAUUCUUUGUUCAGGUAGAUCUGAUAUUUGAUAAUAUUCUUUGAGAGAUUUGGAAAUUUGAGAAGCCUGAUAGAGCAAACUGUGUUUUCUCAACAAGAGACGAUGGGAUGGUCAAAGAAGAUAAGGUAAUCAGAAUUAUAUUGUGAGAAAAAAAAAAACAAAGAAAAAGAACAACGGCAAUUGCAGGUUGUGCGUAGUUGGUUUGGAAAGAAGUGUGUAGACAUAAUGACACUCCAUUUCAACUCUGUCAAAGAAUAACCAAAACAUUUAUUUUGUUUUCUUCAAUCCUUGUUAAGACCCAACCCAUUCUUUUCUCUUCAAUUCUUUCUGUUUCAUGUAAUUUAUUUUUGGUUCUCACAAAAAAAAAAUGUUGGAAUUUUUUCUUAUUUAUAUACCCUCACAUGUCUACCUUGCUAUGGUGCGAUUGUUAAGGUACAACUUUUUCGCAACUGAGGAUAGUUUGUUGGGGAAAUGAUUUUUGUUUCUGCUUUUGGAUGAUUGCAUAUAUUUUCUGGCAGUUUUGAACCAGGUUUUUCUUGUUCUGUGUGGAUCUCUGUUUUUGUUACACCUGUGGAGGACUUGAGAUGAUGCCCUUGUUAUUGCCUUAGAAUGAUAUGAUUAUGACUCUUAGACUUAGGCCUGUUCAAAAAACCAUGAACUAUGAACUUGAUUAUAAUUGAACUGCACUAAAUCAUUAAGUAAAACAUCAUGCGGGAUGAAAAAUAGAGAGAAACAUCCCAACUAUGUUGGCACCCUUCUCUCCAUUAGUUCCUUGCCACUACCAUCUAAAUUUAUUAAAGAGGAAACUAACAAAACACCAUGGGGGGACUAAAGCAAUACCUAUGUCAAGGAAAAGAGAAUAUGUACACAGGUAGCCCUCUAAUAUUGUGGCCUUAUGAUUGAGAACAAAAGGAAGGGACUGUGUCCCACCAAAAUAUCUAUUAUCCACAAUAAAAUUGGCAAUACGACUUGUAAAUGUGUGUAGCUCUAAAUCUGAUGAGAGAUGUUUUGUGCAAGCAAUUAGUCCACCUGUUGCUCAGCUUCCAGGGGACUGAAGAAGAAUUAUUUACAACAUUAAUAACCUGCAAAAAAUCACACUCGAGCCAAAGGGGAUGUCAUCAGUUCCUAUUGUAGACCGUUUCAAUAGCAAAAAUGGCUGCUAGCAGCUCAGCUUCAAAUGCAUUCCCUAUGCCAAUGUAGUUUGCCAAGCUACCCACAACAACGCCAUUUUCGUCUCAAAAGAUAGUUAAAAGCUUUCUGAACACAAAAAUCGUCCUCUGAGAGCCCCAUGCAAGCAGCAGCUAGAUUACCAGCCAUGGUAAUAUGAGAAGAUAUUAGCCAAGUGAUGUGACUUUGUUGCAGAAACGCAACUGGUUUCUGCAAUGCCAAAUAUAUAUCCCACAAAACGAAAACGGUAAUUAUGACACCUCCACCCCAACAUGCAUAUAAAAAGAAAAAAUGUUAGGAACAAGAAACGAGAGAAAGGUAUGAGCCUGGACUUGGAGGGCCAGUAGCCUCCAAAGCAAAGAAAAACACAAAUUGCUAAAUGGUAAUUUUCAUAUCCCCUGCCUUAUUACAUGAGUAGUCUAUAUAUAGUGGUAAUUCCCUAUAACAGAAUUUGUAAUCUUGUGAUAACAAAGAUCUUAACAGAAAAUGAAAUUAGGGGCAGACAAGAUUAAGCACUACUGCGCUACUGCCAACUCAGCUACAAUCUGUUAGACAUAGUUCUUCAAGUAACUUGGGGUAUUGACCUUCCUCAUAGGCCUCUCCCUUUGCUUAGGUUGUGUUUGAGAUCCGUUUCCUUUAUCAAAAAAUAUAUAAAACACGGAAUCUAAUUAAAUCAAUUUUAUUCAAUAAAAUCUUAAGUAAAUCCACAUAAAUAAAAUAUCCACAUUCGCUUCAUGGUUAUCAAUAAAAACUUUUCAGAAACAUUUCUGGCUCAAAAAAGGGUCGUUUAAGUUUACAAAAGAACUCAAAUUAAGUAGCAGAAUAAAAUAAAAUAAAAUGACAUGUUUGAAACAUCAUGCAAUUAAAAUAAAAACAUAUGUUUCAAUAUCACAUCCUAUUAGAGCAUUGUAUUACGAUGUCGUCCAGCAUGAGGUUCCUUAAAACAAUCCACCUAGCCAUCUGUUCUCACAAACACAAGGUUUGAGAUCAUCACAGGAUUCAAACACAAAUAACACAUGAAAAGUGAGCUAUCACAUCUCUAAACAGGUAGAGAUAAAUGAAGACACGUGUAUAUAGUAUAAGUAUAACAAAUACAACUUAGCACAAUUCACAUCAUUUUACCACUCAGUGUGUAACAUCACUUGCCUUAAAGAUUUAAUCACAAAAUCACAUUCCACACAUUCACAUUAAUCACGUGUUCAAAGCAACAAAUCUUAAGUACAUUACAAUAUUUCACACCCACACAAUUCAUUACCCACCAUCACGUAGCAAGUCACAAUGAUCAUUACACAGACGUUAUGUAACAUAUACACUAAGACUCAAUCCUAUAUGCAAUGUGGUACCAUGUUAGUGAAAAACAAUACCAGGGUACCUAGGAGUACAUAGCAAGACACGCCACACAAUGAGUAUAUCAGGUCACUCUCAAUUAGUGAAAUCAUAAGGUGACCAGUUAAGGUCACUCUGUUUUGUGAGAGUGCUCUAUCUGUAUGGAAUCAACAUAGGUCUAAAGGAGCACUCAAACCGAGUAUAUUUACCCCCAAGACCUAGACUCCGAAGAAUCUGUUAGGGUUUCACCUUCCUUAUUUAGAUUCAACCCCUAAAACAAUUUUUACAUGCAGAUACUACUAAUGAAUUAUACAUCCCCACGACUUCACACUUAUUUUCAAAAAUGUUUGACACAAUGCGCUACAAUUUAACAUCCCACGUUCUUAACUUGGAACCCUACACUUUCCUUUUAACAUUUCACGCAUUGCGCUACAAUUUAACACCUCAGAUUCCUAACUUGAAACCCUACCUUUUCCUUUUAACACCUCGCGCAUUGCACUACAAUUUAACACCUUAGGUUCCUAACUUGGAACCUUACACUUUCAUUUUAUCAUUUCGCGCAUAAACACUUUUCUCAAGGUAAACACAAGUCAGGUUAUUGUAUAAUUCAAAACUCACAACAUAGGUAAUAUCACAUAAAAUAUUAACCAUACACUUAUUCACAACCAAAUUUCAUGUCCACAAUUUUAACAUCUCACAACGUCAUAAUCCACAAUCAUAUGUUUAUGUGUAUCUCACAAAUUAACACAUGCUCAACUUGUCACUUAUAUUCAGUCUCAAUCAAUUUUAUAAUAUACAAAUAAUAUUACAUAUAUAAAUAUACCCAGUAUAUAAAUAACUAAACAAAUAAAUAUUCUAAUCAUGAAUUACAAAGUGAAAUAUAAUUAAACAAAACUACACCCAGGAUUCACUAAAACUUUUGAAGAACCUUAUAGUUAAAUAAACUUUGGCAAAUUUUAAAGAAUAAAAAUAUAAAACAAUAUAUAAACUCAUACUAAAUAUUAAAACUAAAACAAUAAUCGAGAAUGUCAUUUUUUUAACCUAUUCUAAUUUCAAAUUAUAAUAUUAAUUAUGAUAAUUAUUAGUUAUGAGUAUAUUUUGGGGUUAAAUUAUAUAAGAAUUUGUAAUUUUUCUCUCAUAAUUCUUCCUUUUUGAGCAAAUAAUUGUUAAAUUAACAUCAUUUAAGUUUUUGUGCAGAAAAUAUUAAAAGUAAUGAAUUUAUGAUGUUUAGUGAGUAAAAUAAAGCAAAAAAAAAACAGACUAAUUAAGGAAAACAAACUAAUUCAAGAACGUAUAGGCAGACUUAGCUAAGCUAAUUUGCACCUAUAAAAGAAGAAAAGAGAAGAAGGAAAAAACACACAGAAAUUCCAAGAGAAUACAAUUCUUUAUAGAAGGCAAAGACUAGACAAAGGAAAAUAAACGUUGGGAGUCAUUCAUUCUCUCUAUUUCCUUUCUUAUCUUUUUCUCAUUUACUAAAUAUUCCCUUCUUCCAAUUGUAAAACCUCCAUAACAAUGAGAGGCUAAUCUCUUUUGUUGGAAACUUGUCAGUCAACUACUCUUGAUGUAAUUUAUCUUCCUAUCUAUUUAAUAAUAUUACAUUUGCAUUAUCCUUUCUUGUGCUUAAUAUUAUUGCUUAAUAUUAUUGCUUGUAGCUUGAUCACCCAUUUGCAUAGGAAAUUUUAGGGGUAGUGUUAGGAAACAUUAUUUUCUAAUAGAACUGAGAAAAAGUAUCUAAAUAAAGUCAUCACAAGGGAUAGGUUAAUAUUUGUUUAGCCUGUUAUGCAUCUCUAUUCUUAAUGCAAUUUAUUAUUUUAGCUCUAUAAAGGGGUUUGAGAGAGAAAAUAGAUAAAUUAGACUAUUUCAUGCGGGGGACCAAAGUUAGAGUAUACUAGUAGAUGUAUGUUUAAAUUGGAAUAAUUAUAAAUAGAGAAAAAUUAUUAACAUUAUAUCAAAGAGUAGCUCUGAUAGACUAAGUUUUCAACAUUCUCAUCUUCUGAAUUUAAUUUCUAUAAUAAUUGACUUUUCUUUUUCUUUCUGUUUUUAAUUAAUUAAUUUAAAUUCCUGUUUAAUUUCUCUUCUUGUUUGAUUUAAUUUUCUACCAAUUUAAAUUACUGUGUUCUCAUAACCUUUUCAAAUCAAUUUUGUUUAACCUAUUUUAUUAAUAAAAUAUUCAUCUACCUAAGUACAAACAAAAUCCAUGUGGAUUUGACACUUGAACUUCUGUUUUAACUUUAUUACUUGUGACGAAUUGGUGUACUUGCCAAUCCAUCAACAAGUUUCAAACUAUAUAAAAAAUUUAAGAAGCACGAAAAGGGGAAAAUACAAAAUCGAUAUCUCAUUCCUUCGUAUGAUAAAUCCUCCUUACUUAAUUUCAUUAAUUCACGUUAAUAAAAAAAAUCAAAUUUCUAGGGUUCACACUCAAUACAAGAACAUAUCAAUUUCAAAACAAUUUUGUAUUGGAACAUUAAUUGGUCCAUCAAACACAGUCAAUUUGCAAUUGAAAGCAUGCAAACAAAAUUGAAACUCAUAAAAUAACCCAAAAUUAAUCCUUUAGGGAUCCCUAUACAUGUUUAUUUUAAUCUCCAAGCGUGAGUAAUCCAUCCCUUACCUCUACGCUAGCUUACGCGUGUAGUCCGGUAGUGAUAAUAGCAUCUCUAGUGGUUUCCUAAGAUUUUUCAAGUUUUUCCUUUGGUUGUUUUGUUAGGAUUUCCAAGUGUUAGAAAAAAUGAGAAGGGAUGAAAGCCUCAAGAGACAUUUCUCUCUCUAUAGACAUUAUUUUGCAAAUUCCAAUGGUGAGAACGCGUGAAAAUGAAUUCCAAAGGUGAUGUUCAAAUUUCAGAACGAUUCAACGAUUAACAAUUUUGGGAUAAUAGUUUUAUUGGAACAAGUGGGUUGUAUGCGAAAAAAAGGAGUUUUGAGAGAAAAAGAAAGAAGAACGAAUUUGGAAACAAGAGUGUAAAAACAUAUCAUAAAUGUAAACUCUGACCCUAUAAUUUACUCUAUUUUUUUUAUUUUAUAAAAAUAAUUUUAUUAUAAUCUUUCAUUAAAUAAAUAAUCAAUUUUACUCUAUUUAUUUUCUAAAAUAUCAUUUUACUCUAUUUAUUUUCUAAUACUACGAACCCUUAUUUUAAUUAACAAUUUUUUUUCUCACAUUUAUUUAAUUUCUAAAAACUCUAUUAAUUUUUAAAUAUAUUUUUUUAAACAAAAAAAAAACGGAAUGUUACAUUAGAAGCUAUCCUUUUGGGUUCACGAACUCUACUAUUGUUAGCGCAAAGAGGAGUAGCCUCAUGUUUCUUACUCUUCUAUAAAAUAAUUAAGAUCAUGACUAAGAAAUAUACAUCAACCAAAAAACAGAAUGACGAUCAUUCACAUUUAUCACAACUAGCGCGUGAAGGAAGUAAAAACCGUAACCAAAAGUACCUCAUAGACCAGAUGAUUCACCAGACAAUAGCCAAAAUACAAACCAUGGAGAGACUGCAUAAAUUGACUAUCUGAACAAAAAAAGCAACAUCAGGAUGAGUUAUAAGGGAGAGACAAGAAAAAAAGUGAUAUGAUAGAAAAUGAAAAGUAUAAAAAAAAUAGAAUAUAAAUGAUAUAGAAUCGAGAUACUUUGAUUCUCAGGUGGAGAGUCAUCCAUUUGAGAAUCAGGAUACUUUCAUCAUUGAAACACAUUUUCACCACCAUCAAUAAUGUUAGAUUCUAGUUUUUUUACUUUUUAGCUUAGUGUUUGAAAAUUAAGCUUUUAAUAGUUUAUAGUAUUUUUUGAGAGGCUGUUAUAAUUUUUUUUAAAAUCUAACUUCUAACUUUUAUAUUUAUUCUUAUUUUGUCCUUAAAAUAUUUAUUAGAUUUUCUUUUCACUCAUUUCUCAAUAAUGGUAGAUUUUAUUAUAUGUUUUUUGUUUUCUUUCUACUAAUAAGGUAGGUUUUGCUAUUUUUACCUUUUUGUACAUAAGAUAGAUUUUUCUUAUUUUUAUCCUUUUAUUACAUAAGAUAUUAAUAAUGGUAGAUAAUAAGUUUAUUUAUUUUUGGAUGUUUUAGUAUUAAAAUUUUUAUUUUACCCAUUAUAUUAUUUAUAACAUUUAAUUAUCCUAACAUUAUAUUUCAAGAUAUUGAUAUUGAUAGGUGAUAUGUUUUAUUUUAUUUUUAAAUAUCUUUUAUAUUAAAUUGUUUAUUUAAACCAGUGUCUUUUGUAGAGUUGGAACCCUCCAGCAGACUUGAAGCUGUUGCUCUUCGAUGAUGCCAUGGGGACCUCCUUUUUGAGGCCUCGGUAAUUUUUUUCUUUCGUGUUUUGUUUUUUUCACUUUACCCAAAAAAAUGAUAAAUUAAUUUUUUGACCCUAAUUUUUUUAUUUCUAUUUUUAGUUCCUAAUUAUUUUUUUUCUAUUCUUACUUUUAGUUCCUUUAACUUUUUUUUAUCUUUACUUUUAAGAAUAAAGAUGGAAAAAAAGUUAAAAGACUAAAAUUUAGAUCGAAAAGAGUUAAAGGACUAAAAAUAAAUAAAUAAAAUUUUGGGACUAAAAAUAAAUUUUUAAAAGGAUUUAAGGACUAAAAAGAUAGUAAAUAAAAAAUAUCAUACUAUUUAUUAUUUUUAGUAUUAUACUUCAAGAUAUUUAAUCAUUGCACUAAUUAACAUAAUAAAAACCUACCAUUUUUAAUACUUUACUAAUUUUAGUUGAUUUUAAUUUUGAUAGAAAAUAUUUUAAUAUGUAGUAUAAGAUGAAUAAUAGAAUACACAAUAUAAAAAAAUAAUUAAUAAAAAUGUAGUUGAAAUAAUUGAUCUAUAAAUUAAAAAUUAAAAAAAUUAAAAUUUAUUAAAACUAAUAUAUAUUCUCAAAAUAUAUUUUUACCAAUAAAAUAAAACUAAAAUGUGUAUAAAAAUAUUAUAUAAAUAUAUCUAUUUACGUCAUUUUAUAUUUAUCAUAUAUUACUAUAAAUAAUUUUAUCUAGUAAUUAUAAUUUAAUAAGUUAACUUAAUAAUUUUCAGCUAGUAGUUUAAUAAUUAAUUUUUAAACUUUUAACUAUUUUUUAAAACUAAUUUUAUCAAACAUAGUCUACAUGAACUUGAAAUCAAGAUAUUAAUAAGUAUAAGUCAAUAUUCUUAUUCGUUAUUCAUGCAUUUAUUUUAUUUUUUGGUCUUUAGUCAAAGACCACUCAUUGAGUUAAAGACUAAUUUCUUUUGUUGUGCGUGACUAUUAGUUCAAGAAAAUUUUCCAUAUAAUAAAAAUCAAAUAUAAAUUCUUUCACUAAAUAGAUGAUUUUCAUUUUGACAAACACAGCAAAGUCUUAGACAACUUGAUCAACCUUUUGGUUGAUUCAUUUGUUUUAUAAAUAUAUUUAACAAUAAAUUUUAGAAAGAUAAUAAUCUUCUACCACAUUUUGGGGGUGGAUUUAAGUGGAAGAUAAUUAAGGAAAAGAUAAAAAAAAUUAAAAAGUUAUAAGUGAUAUAAUAGAAAAUAAAGCAAACGAAAGUUCGUAGUAAUUCUCGUAGAUACGUCACACGUUUGCUACUUCAUGUUAGAUUACGUGUCAAAAAUGAAAUGGAAAAGUGAUCUAGAAGAUGACAAAGAUUUGUUGUAACAUUUUUGUAGUCGAGUACUAUCUGUCUAGAAGUUGAAUUGCGGGUCUAAAGUUUCAUUCAACGCAGACAAUCAAUUUUACUGACACAUGUCAUAUUUUUUCAAUCCAAAAGUAAAAAAUGUCAAGGCUUUGAUUGUUCUAGUUGCCAGUGUUUCCGAAAUGAAGACUAACAAACAAUACACGUGAAAUUCCAACUUUCAAGCAUUAUUUUCUUUAAAAUUAAAAAUGAAAUUUGUAUGACUGACGUCCCCGAUGAAAUAAAUUUAUUAGUUGAUUUUACCUAUUGUGUUUUCUCUUGUAAAAAAAAAAAAACUAUCGCUUUUUCUUUUCAUCAAAAUUAUCUCAAAAGAUUUUCUUGUGUUGUUCCUGCUUACAUACACAGAAUUUAAUUUUCAAACGGUGUCGUCUCUUGUCUUACAUCUUUCAAUUUAAUACAAAAAUUACGAAUAUUUUCCCUCUUGUGUAGGAUAGUUUAGGAUUGUUUGGUUUAAAAAUUAUUUUCUAUCUUGUUUUCUAAUUUUUAAAACAUCUUUAAUUUACAGCCACAGUGGUCAAACUCCGAAGUCUUGACUAUUCCAUGAUCCUGCAUCUUAUGGUUAGUUACUUUUUUUUUGGAAGAAAAAUAUCCCCACAACCGGAAGUAAUGAGAUUAAUCUUUGAGGUAUAUAAAUCAAGAAAGAAGAUUUUAUCUCUCUUAACAAAAUCUUCACCAUAUACAUGAUCAACAAAUUGAUGAAUCCAUCGUAAUUUUUACUUAGUUGACCGUGUAAUUGUUUUUUUAUACAAUGAGAACAAAAAUGAUCAAACUUAUGUUUUCAUGUAUCUAUUUGAAUCCUUCACCAUUAAUUCAAUCCUAUUAUGUUGUUUUAGUCUUUUUAGACUCGCAUAAAAGUUAAACUCUAUUUAUAAAAUUAAAAUAUAUGUAUGCAAGGUUAUCAGACUCGUGAUUCUACGUAGAAUCAUGAAAACUCCGUUAAUUUGACUCGUAGAAUCGAAUCGUAAAUUCGUAAGAAUUUACUCAAAUAAAAAAUAUAUUAAUAUUCAUUUAUAUAAAAUCAUAAGUAAAUAUUUUAACCCUAAAAUAAAUGAAAAUAAUAAACUUUAAUAAUAAUUCAAUAAAUUAACAUAGUCCACAAUCCACACUCAAUCUAACAUAAAUUCAUAUGAUACAAAAUAUAAGCAAACAAAACUCAAGUUAUUGAUGUUCAAUUAAAAUCUCUCCGUGAAAAUUAGAAUCAAAUUAUUGAUUUGAUGCAGAUUUGUUUCUCAACUAAGCAAACAAAACUCGAUACUCUCACUCACCCUUGAUGAGUUCUAUUGCAAGAAUGGAAAGCGCUUAGGAUCCAUGAACAUGGAUGAAUUCCUUUCUAGCAUUUGAAACUCUGAUGAUAACAACCAAGUUAACCUACCACAACCCACCCUUGAUGAAGCUGUAAAGGGUAAAAGUGUAGUAGCAACAUAACCCACCACCAUUUCCCAGCCAUUAUCUGUCCCUCCCCUAAUUUGCAAGAAAACUGUGGAUGAAAUUUGGUCUUAGAUCCACAAAAGCCAACCACACUAUAAUGAAGCUAACAAUAGCCUUGUCAAGAAUGAGCCAUUACUCAAAAGGCAGCAAACACUUGGGGAAAUGACUUUGGAGGAUUUCCUAGUAAAAGCUGGGGUGAUACAAGAAUCAUCAUCACUAUUCAAGUCUUCAUUAUUAUAUCAAAAUCAGGUUGGUAACAUUGCAAGUAAUGGAUCAUUGAGUGCAAGUUAUAGGUUCAUGCAUGUAAUAAGGACAGGAUCUAGUGUGUCUUGUAAUGGGCUUGAAACACAAACAUGUUGGCACAUAAUAACAACUUAAUUAUAAAGGAUGUCACUACAAAUGGCGCUGUGGAGAAAUGUCCAAGCUUAAGAGAAUCAAGUGGGAAGGGUAAUAGGAAGAAGAUCAUUGAUGGCCCUCCUGAAGUAAUAGUAGAGAGAAGGUAGCACAGAAUGUUGAAGAAUCGAGAAUCGGCGGCACGUUAUAUAGUGUUUAAAGGUUAGUUAGAAAGACAAUUAUGACAAAUAGGAUUAUGCUUCUCAAUAGAGAAAAGAGUGUACAUAAGAAACAAUUUUGCUAAAAUUAUGCAACAAUGGAAGAAUCAUUCAAGAAUCUGGAAAGGAAUAUUAAUUGUUUUUUUAAAAAAAAAUAAGAAGACUCUAACAUGCAUAAAAUUCACUUCAUUCACCAGGUUCUAGUGAUAUACAGGGUUGUUUGCAACAUCCUAUUUAAUUACUCCCUUAAUAAGCAUCGUUUCAAUUAAAAGAGAUGAAUUAACAAAGAAACUUUAAGAAAGAAAACACCUUAGCGUCGUGGAGCAAAGCUAGGGAACUAGGUCAUGAAAUAAGGGCUUUCGACGAGUGAGGGCUUUCAAGUUUCAAUCUUCUGCGAUGACGAGGACCAGCAAUCCAGCACGACAGCGAUGAUGAGGACCACCACGACGCGAGUAGCUCAACACCCAAACCAAACUUGAACAAGGCAGAGUGAGUGAGUAGACAGAGUCACAAGAGUCAUUUUUGGGGAAUUUUCGUAUAAUGCCAUUUCGGGUUUUCGUAAACUGGUGGACUCAAAGUAGACUCGCGAGUCUACCCAAACUCGUCCAAGUCUGCGCUAAAUCAGACGAGUCUACUCUGUUUUCGAUUCUGCUUCUGAUUUAACUCGCCGAACCUUAGUGGAAUCAUAAAAUCGUACGAUUUUACGAUCUAAAUUGCGAGUUUAACAACCAUCUAUGUAUGUGAUAAAAUUUUAAAGAGACAUAGAUUUUUUUUUUUUUUGAACUUAAGGUAUCUUGGGUGGAGAGUUAAGGCUAAUCCAUUGAGUUACAUUGAAGGAGUGGAUCUCAAUUGAUAUUUUUUUUUCUUUUCUAUAUAUGGACUUUGGUCAAAUCUUGGAUUACAUAGAGACAAAAUUUAGAAAUUGAUAUUAAAACAAUAGAAACCUUAAUAGGUAUACAUAUUAAUUUAUUUAUAAGAUAAAUUAGAGGAGGUGAUUCCAGCAACAAGGAAAUUUCCUCUUCUUUAUUCGACCAAUGGAGAGUGGAACUUUCCUAUUAGACUUAAUGACUUCCCUACGUGUUGUGUUCUUUUAUAUACUUUUCGUUCUUUUCUGGUUUCAUUUUUUAACUUCUUACUUUUUUAUUAAAGAAUAAUAAAAGAAUGUGUACUAACUAUCAUUUUUUUUUCAACGCGGGACUCUUCAAUCGCCGCCUGUUUCUUCACAUGAAAGGCAUAAAUAGAGAGACGAGUUUGCCAGGAAGAGGAACCCGAACACUCAUUCAUUUUUGUUAUUCUUUGAUUCUUUACCUACCUUGAAGAAGAAGAAAAAGAAGAAACAAGGUGGUGCGUAACAGCAAGAAAUAAAAAAGAAUGGAGGGAAGUGAUAUAUACAGAGCAAGUAACAGUUUACGAUCAAGAAGUUCCACAGUUUGGAGAAACAGUGGUGUGGAGGCAUUCUCAAGGUCUUCUCGCGAAGAGGAUGACGAAGAAGCUCUGAAAUGGGCUGCACUUGAGAAGCUCCCUACCUACAACCGUCUCAGGAAAGGCUUGCUCACAGCUUCCCAUGGCGUCGCCAACGAAAUCGACGUCUCUGAUCUCGGCAUCCAAGAGAGACAGAAACUUCUCGAGAGGUUGGUCAAAGUAGCUGAAGAGGACAAUGAGAGGUUCCUGUUGAAGCUCAAGGAACGUAUUGAUAGGUACUUACUUCUUCACAACCUCUUCCAUCAGUAUAUGUAUAUACUAAGUACUAAUAAGCUUUUUUUGCUUGCUGUUUUUUUAUAUAGAGUUGGACUUGAUAUUCCAACAAUUGAAGUUCGAUAUGAGCACCUUAAUAUUGAGGCAGAGGCCUUUGUGGGAAGUAGAGCUUUGCCCUCUUUCAUCAACUCUGUUACUAAUGUCGUAGAGGUAGGGAAGGGCUGGUUCUACACUUGUUCAAAUUUUUGGUUUCUUUUGUUUUGUUUUGCUAUUAGUCUUAUGGUCUUCCUCUAUUUCUGAUUUCAGGGAUUUUUCAAUCUUCUCCACGUUAGCACAAGCAAAAAGAAACACGUGACUAUUCUUAAAGAUGUUAGCGGGAUUAUUAAACCUCGCAGGAUGACACUGCUUUUGGGUCCUCCAAGUUCAGGAAAAACCACACUCCUUUUGGCCUUAUCAGGAAAGCUCGAUAAAACUCUUAAGGUAUCUGGGAGAGUGACUUACAACGGGCAUGAAUUGAAUGAGUUUGUGCCCC
rnacentral:lncRNA from 1 species